CAGUAGCCACGGGAAUACGGAGGAUCCGAGCGUUAUCCGGAAUUAUUGGGUUUAAAGGGUGCGUAUGCGGAUAGAUAAGUCAGUGGUGAAAGACGGUGGCUCAACCAUCGCAGUGCCGUUGAUACUGUUUAUCUUGAAUAUGGAUGAGGUAGGCGGAAUGUGGCAAGUAGCGGUGAAAUGCAUAGAUAUGCCACAGAACACCAAUUGCGAAGGCAGCUGGCUACACAACUAUUGACGCUGAGGCACGAAAGCGUGGGGAUCAAACAGGAUUAGAGACCCCAGUAGUCCCUGUCUCUUAUAC
rnacentral:rRNA from 1 species